rnacentral:rRNA from 1 species
UACGUAGGGACCGAGCGUUGUCCGGAAUCACUGGGCGUAAAGGGCGUGUAGGUGGUUUCGUAAGUCUGGCGUGAAAUUUCUCGGCUUAACCGAGGCAGGUCGUCGGAUACUGCGGAACUUGAGGACGGUAGAGGCGUGUGGAAUUCCGGGUGUAGUGGUGAAAUGCGUAGAGAUCCGGAGGAACACCAGUGGCGAAGGCGACACGCUGGGCCGUACCUGACACUGAUGCGCGACAGCAUGGGGAGCAAACAGG